UGUUAAAAAUUUCAUCCAUUUAUACUGUUAAAAACUGACAUGGCUAACAGAAUAAUUGGACAAUAACACGUACGUGUCAUGCGUAGCUCAUGUUGAUGUACAGGGACAAGUUUUUAACAGGAGGAAUGAAUGGAAUUUUUAAUA
rfam:Gossypium raimondii Chr01_contig_30, whole genome shotgun sequence.